UACGGAGGAUCCGAGCGUUAUCCGGAUUUACUGGGUUUAAAGGGUGCGUAGGCGGGCGCUUAAGUCAGCGGUGAAAUACGGGGGCUCAACCUUCGAACGGCCGUUGAUACUGGGCGCCUUGGAUUCGGUCGAGGCGGGCGGAAUGCGACAUGUAGCGGUGAAAUGCUUAGAUAUGUCGCAGAACGCCGAUUGCGAAGGCAGCUCGCCAGGCCGACAUUGACGCUGAGGCACGAAAGCGUGGGGAUCGAACAGG
rnacentral:rRNA from 1 species